rnacentral:rRNA from 1 species
GACGAACGCUGGCGGCGUGCUUAACACAUGCAAGUCGAGCGGAAAGGCUCCUUCGGGGGUACUCGAGCGGCGAACGGGUGAGUAACACGUGAGUAAUCUGCCCUGUGCUCUGGGAUAGCCACCGGAAACGGUGAUUAAUACCGGAUAUGACCGCUCCACGCAUGUGGUGGUGGUGGAAAGUUUUUCGGCGCAGGAUGUGCUCGCGGCCUAUCAGCUUGUUGGUGAGGUAAUGGCUCACCAAGGCUUUGACGGGUAGCCGGCCUGAGAGGGUGACCGGUCACACUGGGACUGAGACACGGCCCAGACUCCUACGGGAGGCAGCAGUGGGGAAUAUUGGACAAUGGGCGGAAGCCUGAUCCAGCAACGCCGCGUGAGGGAUGACGGCCUUCGGGUUGUAAACCUCUUUCAGUACCGACGAAGCGAUCCUUUGGGUGAGUGACGGUAGGUACAGAAGAAGGACCGGCCAACUACGUGCCAGCCGCCGCAGUAAUAC